UAGGGAAUCUUCCGCAAUGGGCGAAAGCCUGACGGAGCAACGCCGCGUGAGUGAGGAAGGCCUUCGGGUCGUAAAGCUCUGUUGCCAGGGAAGAAUGUCGAGGGGAGUAACUGCCCUUCGAAUGACGGUACCUGAGAAGAAAGCCCCGGCUAACUACGUGCCAGCAGCCGCGGUAAUACGUAGGGGGCAAGCGUUGUCCGGAAUUAUUGGGCGUAAAGCGCGCGCAGGCGGCUUUGUAAGUCUGGUGUUUAAUCUUUGGGCUCAACCUAAAGUCGCAUCGGAAACUGCAAGGCUUGAGUGCAGAAGAGGAAAGUGGAAUUCCACGUGUAGCGGUGAAAUGCGUAGAGAUGUGGAGGAACACCAGUGGCGAAGGCGACUUUCUGGGCUGUAACUGACGCUGAGGCGCGAAAGCGUGGGGAGCAAACAGGAUUAGAUACCCCCGUAGUCC
rnacentral:rRNA from 1 species